GUGCCAGCCGCCGCGGUAAUACGUAGGGGGCGAGCGUUGUCCGGAAUUACUGGGCGUAAAGGGUGCGUAGGCGGUUCCUUAAGUUGGAUGUGAAAUACCCGGGCUUAACCUGGGGGGUGCAUUCAAGACUGGGGAACUAGAGUUCAGGAGAGGGAAGCGGAAUUCCUAGUGUAGCGGUGAAAUGCGUAGAUAUUAGGAGGAACACCAGUGGCGAAGGCGGCUUUCUGGACUGACACUGACGCUGAGGCACGAAAGCGUGGGGAGCAAACAGGAUUAGAUACCCUGGUAGUCCACGCGGUAAACGAUGAAUACUAGGUGUAGGGGGUAUCAACUCCCUCUGUGCCGCAGCUAACGCAAUAAGUAUUCCGCCUGGGGAGUACGGCCGCAAGGUUGAAACUUAAAUGAAUUGACGG
rnacentral:rRNA from 1 species